CCCGAAGGGGGGGCCCGGAGCGGGCUUGCGGCCGCGCUUCCGUUUUAACCGUCAAGCUUCGGUAGAGCCUGGUUGGGGACGGGGCCUCGGCCUGAUCUCAUCACGGCAGCUUCCGCAGGUCCAGGUGUGGCAGGAAGCAGCAUAUCAUGCACACGAUGAGAACCAGGAGUCCCGCCAAGCAGAUGAGGAUGAUGGCCCAGAAGGGGAUGCCUGCGGAGACAAGUACUGAAAGAAAGAGCCCCCAGGAAAAGCUCCGCUGUGGAAGUCGGACCCCCAUGCUAGCCUCCAGGAACACAGAGGCUUACCAUCGACAAGGACGCUGUUUCUGUCCAGGGUAAAAUUCCGCAAGUGGGUGCCGUUCUGGGGGACGGCGUAAGCAGCGCCUGUUGGGGGGUGCCCAGACCCUCCCCAGGGGGAUGUGCCGUCCCUGCAGGAGGUCAUCAAUGCACAUCUGGACAUGGCAGCAGCGUGCAAGCGGCCCCGAAGACCUGGAGCAACUACCAUCGGCCAGUUUCUGCUCAGUCCAGACAGCCUGGGCUGCAUGCUGCAAAUGGCUAAUUUAUGUCACUAGGGCCAUACAAAGAGUCUACACCUUUACAUCUCUACCUGUCUACGCACAUCUGAGAGGAUUGUGGGGAAGACGGGCAUACUUAGCUGCAGGGACCGGCGCGCUCUCCUCUCGCCCUCCUUCACCCUCUACAGUGAGAGGUCGGAAAGCAUUUUCUAAUUUGUCUUGUGUAAUAAAUACUUGCAU